CAUGCGUCACUGCACCCAACCAUGUACAUUUUUUAAAAAGGCUACAGAUGUCGUUCAGUACUUGAGUGCUUGCUAACAUGCUUAAGGCCUGGGUUUGAUCCCUAGCAUAUGUGUGUGUGUGUGUGUGUGUGUGUACAUACACUCAUAAAAUAAUGGUUCUUUGGUAGAAGGUAUUUUUUAUUCUUUUUAGUUGUACAUGACAGUAGAAUGUAUUUUGACAUGUUAUACAUACAUGGAGUACAACUGAUAGAAGGUAUUUUUAAACAAGAUUGGUAAAGUAAGGAUGGCCAGCACUGAACAGGUGUUUGUUGAGUACUUUAUAAGGACCAGGACCUUGAAUUAUGGAGGGAAAUUGAUCAGGGCCUGGCUUAUUACCUACCGAAGUCUAAUUGGGGAGGCAAGGUGUGAAUUUGUGAAGACUCCACUAAGCAUGGUGACAUGCCUUCACUAACCAUCAGAAUCACCUUGUUUAAAAUGCAGAUACUAAGGCCUUACAGCCUCCCUUCUUGUGUGUGGGGUUGGGAAUCUAUCAAAGGGUGGUUUGAGCUUCAUUUUGGAGGCUGGGUAUCAUUUGGAUGAGUGGAGGGGUGGGAAAGUCAUAAUCCAAGUUGACUGGAUGGCUGUUGAAUGAUGUCUGGUUAACUUAAGGAAUCUAUUUGGUUGGGAUUUUAGUAAUGGCAUGUGCAUGAUUUUGGUAGUUUUGGUAGGGAAGCCAUUUUGAAAUUGUAAGUGGAAUGGUCAGUUUGGAACAGUGGGUUUGGAUAGGAAUGCUGGGAAAGAAUGGCUUUGCAAUUAACUCCCUUUUCUUCCCUCUUUCUCCCAUUCCUCUGCUCACCUAUAUAUAACAUCUCAUUUCAUCCUUAUAACAGCACUAUGAAGUGGGUAUUAUUAUUCUUAGUAUUUGGAUGAAGAGACUUGAGGCCCUGACCACGGUUGCAUUGCUUGCAAGGCUGUUCUGAGUCUGGUAAUCAUCCUACUCACCACUGAGGAAUCUUGAAUGUGUGAAAGAAAUUGGGCUUGGGCUAAGGGCUUGUAGAAUUAGUGGGGUGGCUGAUAAAACCAUCUAAGGCAAGAUGGGAGUGGGUGGUUGAGAGCAUAGUGUGGGUUCAAAUCCCAGCUUCAUUACUUUCUAACUGUGUGACCCUGGGCAAUUGCUUGAUCUUGCUAAGCCUCAGUCUCCUCGCUUGUAACAUGGGAGCAAUAAUACCCACCUCAUGGGGUUGUUAUGAAGAUCAAUGAAGUGUACCUGGCUUAGAGCAAUUACUCACCACCUGGAAGCUAUUGUAAUUAGCCUUCGCAGAUCUCUGGGCUGUGGCUGUGCACCUGCAUCUCAUUCAUCAGCACAGUGGUUUCCAGGACACAGCCAUCCUGACUGGACUUGUUUUAAGGAUGACAUUGUGCAGAGAGGAUGCCACCAGUAAAUGUGUAUUGAAACCUACUGUAUGCUCAGCAUGGCCUAGGAACUAGUGACUCAGACUCAUGCCUAAUGGAAGGAGGUUUGGAGUGGGGGAUGGUUGGUGGUUUUGGCUCAUUUUCUCUGGGUGAUGAAUAAAGAGGAAGGAAGUUAAAAGUGGGGAGGAGAAGAUCCUUCAUUAUCAAGAACUGAGGUGAGCUUGGGCCUACUGGACAAUUGAUGGAUUACUAACAUGAUUUCCUAGGUCUCUUCUGAGCCCAGGAAAAUGGUAGUAGGGGCCCUACCCAGCAUAGAUUUCUUCCACUCUGGGCUGAGGGCUGAUGAGACCUCUGUCCUCCUCUAUUCCAGGUGACAGCAGCAUGGCUGUACCCCAGGCUUUCCCACUGGGGCCCCUCCACGAGCCUGUAGGUGCCCUGAUGGAGCCCCAGCUAUGUCCUCAAAGCUUGGCUGAGGGCUUCCUGCAGGAGGAGCUUCGGCUUAAUGCUGAGCUAAGGCAACUGCAGUUUUCAGAGCCUGUGGGCAUCAUCUACAAUCCAGUGGAUUACGCAUGGGAGCCACAUCGCACCUACGUGACUCGUUACUGCCAGGGCCCCAAGGAAGUGCUCUUCCUCGGCAUGAACCCGGGACCUUUUGGCAUGGCUCAGACUGGGGUGCCCUUUGGGGAAGUAAGCAUGGUUCGAGACUGGUUGGGCAUUGGGGGGUCUGUGUCAUCUCCUCCCCAGGAGCAUCCCAAGCGACCAGUGCUGGGACUGGAGUGCCCACAGACAGAGGUGAGCGGUGCCCGAUUCUGGGGCUUUUUCCAGAACCUCUGUGGACAGCCUGAAGUCUUCUUCCGUCACUGCUUUGUCCACAAUCUGUGUCCUCUGCUCUUCCUGGCUCCCAGUGGGCGCAACCUCACCCCUGCUGAGCUGCCUGCAAAGCAGAGAGAACAGCUUCUUGGGAUUUGCGACGCAGCCCUCUGCCGGCAGGUGCAGCUGCUGGGGGUGCGGCUGGUAGUAGGAGUGGGGCGACUGGCAGAGCAGCGGGCACGACGGGCCCUGGCAGGUCUGAUGCCAGAGGUCCAGGUGGAGGGGCUCCUGCAUCCUUCUCCCCGGAGCCCACAGGCCAACAAGGGCUGGGAGGUGGUAGCCAAGGAAAGGCUCAAUGAGUUGGGAUUGCUGCCUCUGCUAACAAAAUGAGUGUCCCCAGGGCCUGGCCUAGGACAGUCAAGGCCCCCAAGUCAUUCUUGCACAGGCAGAUGACUACACACCGCCCGGACUGGUGCAACAGGGCCUUCCUGGGCUUUCUGUUGCCAGGAAACAUGUUCUUUGAUCUGUUGAACUGUCCCCCAGCCUGCAGAGGCAGUCUCUAAUUACCAGGGUGAGUAGUUACUCAACUCCUGUUCACCCUCCUGCUUCCUGUGUCUUUGACUGUCCUUUGAGCAUUGCCCCUUUUGUCUUACAGUGUUGGCUCCACAGAAUCAGCAGAAGUAUUCUUUUUGUGAGACUUGUGAACUCUGAUGGAAAAAUGGAUUAACCUCUCUAAGUCUCAGGAUCCUCAUCUGUAAAUGGAGAUACCUCCCUCACGGGGUUGUUUGAGGAUUAACUGAGAAAACACUUGAAAGUGCCUUGUGAUGGCCUGGCACUCGGGUGCUCACUACAUAGCUUUCUUGCUUUCUGUCUGGGUUGGGCAGUCAUUGCACUACAGAGGAAACCCCUUUCCACUUUGAAAGCCUGGCUGGGGUCGGGAAGUCUUGCCUACCAGAAAUGGAUCAUGACUUUAUGAAAACCCAACCUGCCAUUCUUCAAUUUAAGCAUUAAAAGUUCCUAAACUCUU